rnacentral:rRNA from 1 species
GACGAACGCUGGCGGCGUGCUUAACACAUGCAAGUCGAACGGAAAGGCCCUGCUUUUGUGGGGUGCUCGAGUGGCGAACGGGUGAGUAACACGUGAGUAACCUGCCCUUGACUUUGGGAUAACUUCAGGAAACUGGGGCUAAUACCGGAUAGGAGCUCCUGCUGCAUGGUGGGGGUUGGAAAGUUUCGGCGGGUGGGGAUGGACGGGCGGCUUAUCAGCUUGUUGGUGGGGUAGUGGCUUACCAAGGCUUUGACGGGUAGCCGGCCUGAGAGGGUGACCGGCCACAUUGGGACUGAGAUACGGCCCAGACUCCUACGGGAGGCAGCAGUGGGGAAUAUUGCACAAUGGGCGGAAGCCUGAUGCAGCAACGCCGCGUGCGGAAUGACGGCCUUCGGGUUGUAAACCGCUUUCGCCUGUGACGAAGCGUGAGUGACGGUAAUGGGUAAAGAAGCACCGGCUAACUACGUG